UAUGUAGGGGGCAAGCGUUGUCCGGAUUUAUUGGGCGUAAAGAGCGUGUAGGUGGCCAUGUAGGUCCGUUGUGAAAACUCGAGGCUCAACCUCGAGACGCCGAUGGAAACCAUAUGGCUAGAGUCCGGAAGAGGAGAGUGGAAUUCCUGGUGUAGCGGUGAAAUGCGCAGAUAUCAGGAAGAACACCCGUGGCUAAGGCGGCUCUCUAGUACGGUACUGACGCUGAGACGCGAAAGCGUGGGGAGCGAACAGG
rnacentral:rRNA from 1 species